AUGAUACUCUCUCCGUUCGGAAAAGCUUGUCCUUCGAAUGGAUGUAUCUAGCAUCAAGUUAGUGCUUGAUACAUUCAUUUGAGGGACAAACUUUUUCGGACGGAGGGAGUAAUAA
rfam:Triticum aestivum genome assembly, contig: Triticum_aestivum_CS42_TGACv1_scaffold_131649_2BL